UACGUAGGGUGCGAGCGUUGUCCGGAAUUAUUGGGCGUAAAGAGCUCGUAGGCGGCCUGUCGCGUCGGAUGUGAAAGCCCGGGGCUUAACCCCGGGUCUGCAUUCGAUACGGGCAGGCUAGAGUGUGGUAGGGGAGAUCGGAAUUCCUGGUGUAGCGGUGAAAUGCGCAGAUAUCAGGAGGAACACCGGUGGCGAAGGCGGAUCUCUGGGCCAUUACUGACGCUGAGGAGCGCAAGCGUGGGGAGCGAACAGG
rnacentral:rRNA from 1 species